CGGAGGGUGCAAGCGUUGUUCGGAAUUACUGGGCGUAAAGCGCGGGCAGGUGGUCUUUUAAGUCCUUUGUGAAAUCCCGGGGCUCAACUCCGGAUGUGCAUAGGAUACUGGAAGACUUGAGACAGGUAGAGGCGAGCGGAAUUCCUGGUGUAGCGGUGGAAUGCGUAGAUAUCAGGAAGAACACCGGUGGCGAAGGCGGCUCGCUGGGCCUGUUCUGACACUCAUCCGCGAAAGCGUGGGGAGCAAACAGGAUUAGAUACCCUGGUAGUCCACGCCGUAAACGAUGGGCACUAGAUGCCGGGCCUAUAGACGGGUUCGGUGUCGCAGCUAACGCAUUAAGUGCCCCGCCUGGGGAGUACGGCCGCAAGGCUG
rnacentral:rRNA from 1 species